rnacentral:rRNA from 1 species
CCCUUAGACGUUCUGGGCCGCACGCGCGCUACACUGACCAGUGCAACAAGCAUCCGUCCUUGGCCGACAGGCCCGGGCAAUCUUUGAACGCUGGUCGUGAUGGGGAUAGACUUUUGCAAUUUUUGGUCUACAACGAGGAAUUCCUAGUAAACGCAAGUCAUCAACUUGCAUUGAUUACGUCCCUGCCCUUUGUACACACCGCCCGUCGCACCUACCGAUUGAAUGGUCCGGUGAAGCCUCCGGAUUGGCGCGCACCUCGGUGCCGCCGAGAAGUUGGCUAAACCUUACCAUUUAGAGGAAGGUGAAGUCGUAACA